GUCUAGUCAAUCUUUAAAAAUCGACUACAUGUUUGUUGUGAUUUUGUCCUCACAUGCUGUUGCCUGCAGUAUGUCAAGUAUUUUCCUCUGGAUACUCACACUGUUGUGAGCUGUUGGCAUGAAGCAGAAAAUUAGUUUUAUUUCCGUUUUUGUCACACGCUGCUCACUGCAUGGGGGGGAAAUGAAUGAAAACACAUUUUUAACAAACUGAUUCAACAUAAGAAGAAAGUCCUUCACAACUUAAAACCCAUUCAUAGAAGUUUAGAAACCAUAGAAACCAGAUUUAUCAUCUUAACGCAUUAGAAUAAAGAAAUGUGACGUAGCGUAUUUAGUGUACACGUAAUGAAACGCAUGUAUAUUUUUGUUGUCAUUACCAGUUCUUUUUCCGCCUAUAAUUACAGACUAAUUCAUCCUUAUUUAUGACACAGAGAAGCAGACAGUAGAACACAGGAUCACAUGUUGCCAGCCGAGUUCACAGUGCAGUUUAAUGAUCAUUAAAGCACUGUUAAUGAAAUAUUAAUAGCGCCUUGUCAGUGCCAACUCUCUCCAUCACUCUCUCAUCGGGGGUUGGAGGUCAGGCUGCUGUCCGUCUGGCAGAAUUCAUCAGGCUGAUUAAAAGUACCUGCAAAAGGUUAAUGUGUUAAUGUGAGGAAACGAGAGGUGAGAUACUCUGGUAGCUGCACCAGGUUGUUUUUUUGUUGGUGGAAAUAGCUUUCUCACCUCACCUUUCCCCUGUCUUCUCCUGUUGUUUUUAUUCAAAGCAGUUGGUGAAAGUGUGAAAGCUGCCAGCCUCCAAAAUAAACCACCAGAGGGACGGGUGGUGUUGCAGACCCUCAUGCAGACCCAGGUCUUACUGCGGCUGCCGCUCUCAUAGACGACUGAAGAUACUGAACUGAAUGGGAAGGAUGCAAAGGUGGAAGCAGUCAGUCUUGGA
rnacentral:lncRNA from 15 species